rnacentral:rRNA from 1 species
UUCAUCCUACGGGAGGCAGCAGUGGGGAAUAUUGCACAAUGGGGGGAACCCUGAUGCAGCGACGCCGCGUGAGUGAAGAAGUAUUUCGGUACGUAAAGCUCUAUCAGCAGGGAAGAAAAAAGGACGGUACCUGAGUAAGAAGCCCCGGCUAACUACGUGCCAGCAGCCGCGGUAAUACGUAGGGGGCAAGCGUUAUCCGGAAUUACUGGGUGUAAAGGGAGCGUAGACGGCAAUGCAAGACCGGAGUGGAAUGCGGCGGCUCAACUGCCGACCUG